rnacentral:rRNA from 1 species
GAUGAACGCUGGCGGCGUGCUUAACACAUGCAAGUCGAACGAUGAAGCCCAGCUUGCUGGGUGGAUUAGUGGCGAACGGGUGAGUAACACGUGAGUAACCUGCCCUUGACUCUGGGAUAAGCCUGGUGAACUGGGUCUAAUACUGGAUAUGACUUCUCAUCGCAUGGUGGGGGGUGGAAAGAUUUAUUGGUCUUGGAUGGACUCGCGGCCUAUCAGCUUGUUGGUGAGGUAAUGGCUCACCAAGGCGACGACGGGUAGCCGGCCUGAGAGGGUGACCGGCCACACUGGGACUGAGACACGGCCCAGACUCCUACGGGAGGCAGCAGUGGGGAAUAUUGCACAAUGGGCGCAAGCCUGAUGCAGCGACGCCGCGUGAGGGAUGACGGCCUUCGGGUUGUAAACCUCUUUCAGUAGGGAAGAAGCGAGAGUGACGGUACCUGCAGAAGAAGCGCCGGCUAACUACGUG